UACGAAGGGUGCAAGCGUUACUCGGAAUUACUGGGCGUAAAGCGUGCGCAGGCGGUCUGCUAAGUGAGGUGUGAAAUCCCCGGGCUUAACCUGGGAACUGCGCUUCUAACUGGCAGGCUUGAGUGUGGCAGAGGGGGGUGGAAUUCCACGUGUAGCAGUGAAAUGCGUAGAGAUGUGGAGGAACACCGAUGGCGAAGGCAGCCCCCUGGGCUAACACUGACGCUCAUGCACGAAAGCGUGGGGAGCAAACAGG
rnacentral:rRNA from 1 species